AAGAAGGCCUUCGGGUUGUAAAGUACUUUAAAACGUGAGGAAGGCGGCGUCGUUAAUAGCGGCGUUGUUUGACGUUAGCGACAGAAGAAGCACCGGCUAACUCCGUGCCAGCAGCCGCGGUAAUACGGAGGGUGCGAGCGUUAAUCGGAAUUACUGGGCGUAAAGCCCCCGCAGGUGGUUUGUUAAGUCAGAUGUGAAAGCCCGGGGCUCAACCUCGGAAUAGCAUUUGAAACUGGCAGACUAGAGUACUGUAGAGGGGGGUAGAAUUUCAGGUGUAGCGGUGAAAUGCGUAGAGAUGGGGAGGAAUACCGGUGGCGAAGGCGGCCCCCUGGACAGAUACUGACACUCAGAUGCGAAAGCGUGGGGAGCAAACAGGAUUAGAUACCCUGGUAGUCCACGCCGUAAACGAUGUCUACUUGGAGGUUGUGGCCUUGAGCCGUGGCUUUCGGUUUUAACGCGUUAAGUAGACCGCCUGGGGAGUACGGUCGCAAGAUUAAAACUCAAAUGAAUUGACGGGGGCCCGCACAAGCGGUGGAGCAUGUGGUUUAAUUCGAUGCAAC
rnacentral:rRNA from 1 species